CAUACAUAUAAUCCAUAUAUGUACAUGUGUGUACAUGUGUUUAUUGAGGGAGAGGUGGAGAGGGUGAAAGCAGGGAGAAUAAUCGAUAUACGAAUGAGAAUUGGAGAAAUCGAUGGAAAUUAUGUGUACUAAAGGAUUUCCAAAUUAUAUAAAUCGUGUGUAGACUGCACUCGUUAUUUUUAUUGGUCCGAUCUGGACGAAAAAAAUAUGCGUGUAGAGGGCGCAACGAGAGCUCACUAAUGACCCCAGUCGCGUUCUUCUAGGUGCUAUAGUUUCAGUAACCCGCUGUAACGUCCGUAAGAGUGUCGUAAUCUCACUCGACCAUCCGUAACGUCCAUAAGGGUGCCGUAACGACCGUAACACGCCGUAACGUCUGUAAGGGUGCAGUAAUGACCGUAACCCGCUGUAACGUCCGUAAGAGUGCCGUAACCUUAUUCGAACAUCCGUAACGUCUGUCGAACGUCCGUCGAACGUCCGUAACGUCCGUAACAUCGCCGUAACGACCGUAACAAGCCGUAAGGUCCAUAAGGGUGCCGUAACGACCGUAACACGCCGCAACGUCCGUAACGUUCGUAACAUCGCCGUAACGACCGUAACAAGCCGUAAGGUCCAUAAGGGUGCCGUAACAACCGUAACAAGCCAUAAGGUCCAUAAGGGUGCUGUAACGACCGUAACACGCCGUAACGUCCGUAAGAGUGCCAUAACCUCACUCGACAUCCGUAACGUCUGUCGAACGAUUGGUCCGAUCUGGACGAAAAAUAUGCGCGUAGAGGGCGCAACGAGAGCUCACCAAUGACCCCGGACCCGUUCUUCUUGGUGCUAUAGUUUCAGUAACCCGCUAUAGGAAUGCAUUUCCUUGGAAUUUCAAUUUGUGGUAAUUGCAACGGUAUAAUUUUCCUCUGUGUUAUACGAUCAAUAUAAAUCGGCUUGUGCAGUAUUAAACUUAGCUAAAUUUUAUGGAUGAUAACUAUCGUUAUUAUAAAGUUGAAUCGUAUGAAUCAUGCGAAUUUUCCAUAAAGAUUUUCAAAAUUAACAACGAGUAGAAAUGUUCGAAACUUCAUUUAGUCAAAUUUUGAUACAAUUGAUAAUAAUUCUUCUUGUACGAUCAAUCACAAUUGAAUUAUCUGUUUUCGCUAUUUUUGUGAAGUAUUGUUCUUCAAGAUAUAUCUAAAUGUUUUAUCAUUAAGUUGUAGACAUAGUUACAAAUUUUCCAAUCGAUGAAAAUACACGAUAUUAUUUAUUUAAAUAUAAAGAAAGGAAGAUACUUUACCGAUAUUACUUAUUAGCCAAUACGGUAUAGAUAAGGGAUAUUUUAACAUAAUUAAUAACAAUAUUUUCUAAUGAUUUUAUAAUACUUAAAACUAAAAAAAGAUACAUAUUUAUUUAAAUAUAAAUAUUCUAUAUUACCUAUUCAUUAACAUAAAUAUAUGUAUACAUAUUAGUACAUAAUAUACAUAUACAAACAAUGCCAAGAUUACCUUAAAAAUAUUCGUUAUAAAAUCAAUCAUUAUUAAAAUAAUUAAUUAACUAAUUAAAUUAAAAAAAUUUAAAUAUAUAUAUAUAAUAUUAUUACCCUGAAAGAAAAAGAGAAUGUUUAUAGCAUUUACUAGCGGACGUAUACAAAGCAAAUCUUAUUACAAUGUUUAUAUGUUUCUAUAUAAGCUGAAGUAUCUAAAUACACCUUAUGUUAUUUACUUUUUGUCGAAUAUCGUAUGAGAUCAGUCUUUCCGCAACCACCGAGUUGCAAACUUCAAAGAUCCCAUAUAAACAUACGUUUGUAAACAGAUAGAUAUGUAUAUAUGUACAUAUGUACAUAACUAAACACAAUAUACACACCCACACACUCAUACACAAAGUAUAUAGUAGUCUUUCUCUUGGGUAUUGCUUGAGAUUUUAUUAUAUUGUAUAGACAGUAACGAGCAACCUUUGUUCUGCAAUAAGCCAAAAUUAAAUAUCUGAUAUUGUUAUUGAUAGAAUUCAUUAUGAACUAAAAAUGCUUAUAUUGAUUAAAAAAGGAAUUAAUGCUUGAUAGAAAAAGAAAAAAUUACACAUUAUUGAAGGGUAUUUGUUAUUUUCGGCAUCAAUUUACAAUGAAAUGUUUUCUAUAAUUCCAUUGAUUUUUUAUUAGCAAUACUUUUAAUGUAUACACAUAAAUGUAUGUAUAUAUAUUUUUGUAAUGGAACGAAAUCUAUUAGUUGUUUAUUUUUAAUUAGAUAUAUGAUUCUACUUCUCGUUAAUAAACUUUACAUUAUUAUAUUGGAAGAUACAAUGGAAGAUAUCGAAUUAAACUCUAACACAAUCUUUUAUUCGUUUGUCGUUAACGUUAAGACUUUUGAUAAAAGAUUUCAAUACUUCGGUUAAUAGUUAAAAUGCCUUUCAACUGGCCGUAGAUAACAAAGCUCUUCACAAAUGUAUCAACCUAAGAUGUAAUACCACUGAUUAAGAAAUUCACUAAUUAUAGUCGACUAUUGUCAUUCUUCGAUGCAAGAUGUAAGUCGUAUUUGCAUUGAUACGCAGAUGAAUACGUAUAUGAUAAUGUUUUUUUUAUAAACCCUGAGUUACUCAUUUCUGAUACAGAUUGAGAUAUAUACAGAUAUAUAUAUAUAUAUUAUAUAUUAUAUAUUAUGUAUAUAUAAAUACAGAGAGAGAGAGAGAGAGAAAGAGGAAGGGUAAACGAAUCGAGAAUUUUGAAUAAAACAUAGAACGAUAUCGAGAUUAAAUUGAAAGGAAACUUUGUUAGCUUCUUGACAAAAAGGCACUCUAUAAGGGAAACAUCAGCCAUCCAAAGUACAAUUAUAUCAAAAACCCAUUCAAACUAAAGAAGAUUACAUAUGUAUCUGAUUAUGAUACCUUAUAUUUCUUAUUAUUCAUAUAAAAGAAAAGAAAAAGAAAAAAAAACAGUUAAGGAAAAUAAGAAAGAAAUCUCAUCUUUAUUUCCCAAUAUCUUCAAUUAUGAUUGAUUUCUAAAUACAAUAAGGAUAAUAAUAACAAUAAUAACAACAACAAUAAUAUGAAGGAGAAGAAGAAGAAGAAUAAAGUAUCUUGGUAUAUUCAAUUUUGCUUUCUUGUUCUUAUAUAGUAUAUGUAUCUAGUACAAUGUAAAUUUUAAUGUGGGAUUUCAUUUAAACGUGUUAUUUAAUGCGUAUUAUGAUUAAUAUAUAUUAUUCAUACACAUAUGAAUGUAUGUAUAUUUAAAUGAAUAUAGAAUUUAUACCUCGUUGAAAAAUUAAAUUUACAAUAUUGAAAUAAGGGUGUCACGAUCAGGUACACGCAUCACGAUCGAUCGUCGACGAUCUUUCUAUAUAUAAAAUAUAUCGAUACCAAACGAUAUUACAUUUGUUAAAAGGCAUAUACGUAUUACGUACAUACGCGUACACGUGCAUACAGAAAAAUUAAGAAAAAAAUAGCAAAAUAGAGCGAGGAAGAGAGAGAGAGAGAGAUGAAAGUACAUUAUUUUGGAGGAAGGGCGUCUGUCCUAACGAACGGAGUUUUCGAUGAGGUCUCGUAUUUUUCUAUUCCUGUUGCUUUCUUUUAUUUUUUGAUUUUGAUUAAUUGACUAAUUAAAUUAUAAAAAUUUUAAUAUAUAUAUAUAUAUAUAUAUAUAUAUAUAUAUUACACUGAAAGAAAAAGAGAAUGUUUAUACCAUUUAUUGGCUGACGUAUACAAAGCAAAUCUUAUUACAAUGUUUAUUUGUUUCUAUAUAAGCUGAAAUAUCUAUAUACACUUUAUGUUAUUUACUUUCUGUCGAAUAUCGUAUGAGAUUAGUCUUUCGGCAACCAAGGAGCUGGAAAAUUGGAAAUAAACUCUAAUACAAUCUUUUAUUCGUUUGUCGUCUACGUUACGACUUUUGAUAAAAGAUUUCAAUACUUCGGUUAUUGGUUAAAAUGCUUUUCAACUGGCCGUAGAUAACAAAGCUCUUCACAAAUGUAUCAACGUAAGAUGUAAUACCACUGAUUAAGAAAUUCACUGAUUAUAGUCGACUAUUGUCAUUUUUCGAUGCAAGAUGUGGGUCGUAUUUGCAUUGAUAGGCAGAUGAAUACGUAUAUGAUAAUGUUUUUUUAUUAACCCUGAGUUACUCAUUUCUUAUACAGAUUGAGAUAUAUACAGAUAUCUAUAUAUAUUAUAUAUUAUAUAUUAUAUAUAUAUAAAUAUAUAUACAGAGAGAGAAAGAAAAAGGGUAAAGGAAUCGAGAAUUUGAAUAAAACAAAGAACGAUAUCGAGAUUAUAUUGAAAAGAAACUUUGUUAGCUCUUGACAAAAAGGCAUUCGAUAAGGAAGCAUUAGCCGUCCAAAGUACAAUUAUAUCAAAAACCCAUUCAAACUAAAGAAGAUUACAUAUGUAUCUGAUUAUGAUACCUUAUAUCUCUUAUUAUUCAUAUAAAAGAAAAGAAAAAAAAAAAAAACAGUUAAGAAAAAUAAGAAGGAAAUCUCAUCUUUAUUUCCCAAUAUCUUCAAUUAUGAUUGAUUUCUAAAUACAAUAAGGAUAAUAAUAACAAUAAUAACAACAACAAUAAUAUGAAGAAGAAGAAGAAGAAGAAUAAAGUAUCUUGGUAUAUUCAAUUUUGCUUUCUUGUUCUUAUGUAGUAUAUGUAUCUAGUACAAUGUAAAUUUUAAUGUGGGAUUUCAUUUAAACGUGUCAUUUAAUGCGUAUUAUGAUUAAUAUGCAUUAUUCAUACACAUAUCAAGGUAUGUGUAUUUAAAUGAAUAUAGAAUUUAUACCUCGUUGACAAAUUAAAUUUACAAUAUUGAAAUAAGGGUGUCACGAUCAGGUACACGUAUCACGUUCGAUCGUCGACGAUCUUUCUAUAUAUAAAAUAUAUCGAUACCAAACGAUAUUACAUUCCUUAAAAUGCAUAUACGUAUUACGUACGUACGUGUACACGUGCAUACAGAAAAAUUAAGAAAAAAGUAGCAAAAUAGAGCGAGGAAAAGACAGAGAGAGAGAGAUAGAUGAAAGUUCAUUGUUUUCGAGGAAGGACGUCUGUCCUAACGAACGAAGUUUUCGAUGAGGUCUCGUAUUUUUCUAUUCCUGUUGCUUUCUUUUCUUGUUUUGAUUUUGAUUAAUUAACUAAUUAAAUUAUAAAAAUUUAAAUAUAUAUAUAUAUAUAUAAUAUUAUUACCCUGAAAGAAAAAGAGAAUGUUUAUAGCAUUUACUAGCGGACGUAUACAAAGCAAAUCUUAUUACAAUGUUUAUAUGUUUCUAUAUAAGCUGAAAUAUCUAAAUACAACUUAUGUUAUUUACUUUUUGUCGAAUAUCGUAUAAGAUCAGUCUUUCGGCAACCACCGAGUUGGAAACUUGAAAGAUCCCGUAUAAACAUACGUUUGUAAAUAGAUAGAUAUGUAUAUAUGUACUUAUGUACAUAACUAGACACAAUAUACACAUCCACACACUCAUACACAAAGUAUACAGUAGUCUUUCUCUUGGGUAUUGCUUGAGAUUUUAUUAUAUUGUAUAGACAGUAACGAGCAACCUUUGUUCUGCAAUGAGCCAAAAUUAAAUAUCUGAUAUUGUUAUUGAUAGAAUUCAUUAUGAACUAAAAAUGCUUAUAUUGAUUAAAAAAGGAAUUAAUGCUUGAUAGAAAAAGAAAAAAUUACACAUUAUUGAAGGGUAUUUGUUAUUUUCGGCAUCAAUUUACAAUGAAAUGUUUUCUAUAAUUCCAUUGAUUUUUUAUUAGCAAUACUUUUAAUGUAUACGCAUAAAUGUAUGUAUAUAUAUUUUUGUAAUGGAACGAAAUCUAUUAGUUGUUUAUUUUUAAUUAGAUAUAUGAUUCUACUUCUCGUUAAUAAACUUUACAUUAUUAUAUUGGAAGAUACAUUCGAAGAUAUUGAAAUAAACUCUAAUACAAUCGUUUAUUCGUUUGUCGUUAACGUUACGAGUUUUGAUAAAUGAUUUCGAUACUUCGGUUAAUAGUUAAAAUGCGUUUCAACUGGCCGUAGAUAACAAAGCUCUUCACAAAUGUAUCAACGUAAGAUGUAAUACCUGUGAUUAAGAAAUUCACUAAUUAUAGUCGACUAUUGUCAUUUUUCGAUGCAAGAUGUAAGUCGUAUUUGCAUUGAUACGCAGAUGAAUACGUAUAUGAUAAUGUUUUUUUAUAAACCCUGAGUUACUCAUUUCUGAUACAGAUUCAGAUAUAUACAGAUAUAUAUAUGUAUUAUAUAUUAUAUAUAAUAUGUAUAUAUAUAUACAGAGAGAGAGAGAGAGAGAGAGAGAGAGAGAGAGAGAGAGAGAGAGAGAGAGAGAGAGAGAGAGAGAGAGAAAGAAAGGGUAAACGAAUCGAGAAUUUGAAUGAAACAAAGAACGAUAUCGAGAUUAAAUUGAAAAGAAACUUUGUUAGCUCUUAACAAAAGGCAUUCGAUAAGGAAGCAUUAGCCGUCCAAAGUACAAUUAUAUCAAAAACCCAUUCAAACUAAAGAAGAUUACAUAUGUAUCUGAUUAUGAUACCUUAUAUUUCUUAUUAUUCAUAUAAAAGAAAAGAAAAAGAAAAAAAAACAGUUAAGAAAAAUAAGAAAGAAAUCUCAUCUUUAUUUUCCAAUAUCUUCAAUUAUGAUUGAUUUCUAAAUACAAUAAGGAUAAUAAUAACAAUAAUAACAACAACAAUAAUAUGAAGAAGAAGAAGAAGAAGAAUAAAGUAUCUUGGUAUAUUCAAUUUUGCUUUCUUGUUCUUAUGUAGUAUAUGUAUCUAGUACAAUGUAAAUUUUAAUGUGGGAUUUCAUUUAAACGUGUCAUUUAAUGCGUAUUAUGAUUAAUAUGCAUUAUUCAUACACAUAUCAAGGUAUGUGUAUUUAAAUGAAUAUAGAAUUUAUACCUCGUUGACAAAUUAAAUUUACAAUAUUGAAAUAAGGGUGUCACGAUCAGGUACACGCAUCACGUUCGAUCGUCGACGAUCUUUCUAUAUAUAAAAUAUAUCGAUACCAAACGAUAUUACAUUUGUUAAAAUGCAUAUACGUAUUACGUACAUACGCGUACACGUGCAUACAGAAAAGUUAAGAAUAAAAUAGCAAAAUACAGCGAGAAAGAGAGAGAGAGAGAUGAAAGUUCAUUGUUUUCGAGGAAGGACGUCUGUCCUAACGAACGAAGUUUUCGAUGAGGUCUCGUAUUUUUCUAUUCCUGUUGCUUUCUUUUCUUUUUUUGAUUUUGAUUAAUUAACUAAUUAAAUUAUAAAAAUUUAAAUAUAUAUAUAUAUAUAUAUAUAUAUAUAUAUAUAUAAUAUUAUUACCCUGAAAGAAAAAGAGAAUGUUUAUAGCAUUUACUAGCGGAC